rnacentral:rRNA from 1 species
CCUACGGGUGGCAGCAGUGAGGAAUAUUGGUCAAUGGCCGGAAGGCUGAACCAGCCAAGCCGCGUGAAGGACGAAGGUGCCAAGCAUUGUAAACUUCUUUUGUCAAGGGACAAAAUCAGGCUCGCGAGCCUGACCGAGGGUACUUGAAGAAAAAGCAUCGGCUAACUCCGUGCCAGCAGCCGCGGUAAUACGGAGGAUGCGAGCGUUAUCCGGAUUUAUUGGGUUUAAAGGGUGCGUAGGCGGACUGUUAAGUCAGCGGUAAAAGCCCGGGGCUUAACCCCGGAACUGCUUUGGAAACUGUGCGGGUGGAGUGCAGGAGGGGGAAGCGGAAUUCCUAGUGUAGCGGUGAAAUGCGUAGAUAUUAGGAGGAACACCGGUGGCGAAGGCGGCUUACUGGACUGGAACUGACGUUGAGGCUCGAAAGCGUGGGGAGCAACAGGAUUAGAUACCCUAGUAGUC